rnacentral:rRNA from 1 species
GGGCCCGCACAAGCGGUGGAGCAUGUGGUUUAAUUCGACGCAACGCGAAGAACCUUACCCAGGCUUGAACUGCAGACGACAUCCUACGAAAGUAGGCUCCCGCAAGGGCGUCUGUAGAGGUGCUGCAUGGCUGUCGUCAGCUCGUGUCGUGAGAUGUUGGGUUAAGUCCCGCAACGAGCGCAACCCUUGUCUUCUGUUGCCAUCAGGUUAUGCUGGGCACUCUGAAGAGACUGCCGGUGACAAACCGGAGGAAGGUGGGGAUGACGUCAAGUCAGCAUGGCCUUUAUGUCUGGGGCCACACACGUGCUACAAUGGCCGAUACAAACCGUCGCGAGCCCGCAAGGGGGAGCUAAUCGGAGAAAGUCGGUCUCAGUUCGGAUUGUAGGCUGCAACUCGCCUGCAUGAAGUUGGAAUCGCUAGUAAUCGCGGAUCAGCACGCCGCGGUGAAUACGUUCCCGGGCCUU